GGUGAUGGCCUACCAAGGCUUUGACGGGUAACCGGCCUGAAAGGGUGACCGGUCACAUUGGGACUGAGAUACGGCCCAGACUCCUACGGGAGGCAGCAGUGGGGAAUUUUGCACAAUGGGCGAAAGCCUGAUGCAGCGACGCCGCGUGAGGGAUGACGGCCUUCGGGUUGUAAACCUCUUUCGCUCAUGGUCAAGGCUAGUUUUUGUUCUAGUUGAGGGUAGUGGGUAAAGAAGCGCCGGCUAACUACGUGCCAGCAGCCGCGGUAAUACGUAGGGCGCGAGCGUUGUCCGGAAUUAUUGGGCGUAAAGGGCUUGUAGGCGGCUUGUCGCGUCUGCCGUGAAAACCCACAGCUUAACUGUGGGCUUGCGGUGGGUACGGGCUGGCUUGAGUGCGGUAGGGGAGACUGGAAUUCCUGGUGUAGCGGUGGAAUGCGCAGAUAUCAGGAGGAACACCGGUGGCGAAGGCGGGUCUCUGGGCCGUUACUGACGCUGAGGAGCGAAAGCGUGGGGAGCGAACAGGAUUAGAUACCCUGGUAGUCCACGCUGUAAACGUUGGGCACUAGGUGUGGGGGCCGCCCUUGGUUUCUGCGCCGUAGCUAACGCUUUAAGUGCCCCGCCUGGGGAGUACGGCCGCAAGGCUAAAACUCAAAGGAAUUGACGGGGGCCCGCACAAGCGGCGGAGCAUGCGGAUUAAUUCGAUGCAACGCGAAGAACCUUACCAAGGCUUGACAUGCACCGCGACACUGCAGAGAUGUGGUGGCCUUCGGGGUGGUGUGCAGGUGGUGCAUGGUUGUCGUCAGCUCGUGUCGUGAGAUGUUGGGUUAAGUCCCGCAACGAGCGCAACCCUUGCCCUAUGUUGCCAGCACGUUAUGGUGGGGACUCGUGGGGGACUGCCGGGGUUAACUCGGAGGAAGGUGGGGAUGACGUCAAAUCAUCAUGCCCCUUAUGUCUUGGGCUUCACGCAUGCUACAAUGGCUGGUACAGAGGGUUGCGAUGCUGUGAGGCGGAGCGAAUCCCUUAAAGCCGGUCUCAGUUCGGAUUGGGGUCUGCAACUCGACCCCAUGAAGGUGGAGUCGCUAGUAAUCGCAGAUCAGCAACGCUGCGGUGAAUACGUUCUCGGGCCUUGUACACACCGCCCGUCACGUCACGAAAGUUGGUAACACCCGAAGCCC
rnacentral:rRNA from 1 species